GGAUAGUUGACAUUUCUGAAUGGAACCCAUCUCCCAAUUACUUCUCUUUUGCUAUGUCCUUUCUUCCCCAACAUGAACACUCCUCCAUUACCAGGUUCUUUCAAAUGGAAGAUCGAAAACGGGCUCUUGUGAGCAGAUUGUUGCAGUAUGCACUGAUACAUCAAGUCUUGGGGAUCCCAUACAACGGAAUUGUCAUCAGGCGCACUGCUGAGGGGAAACCAUACCUGUUAUGUUUAGAACGUAGUCAGGAAUGUGACAAACUGAACUUGGAGUUUCCAAAUUUUAACUUCAAUGCAUCACAUCAUGGUGAUUUUGUGGCUAUUGCUUCUGAACCAAUAUGUCUUGUGGGAUUGGAUGUUGU
rnacentral:misc_RNA from 1 species